rnacentral:misc_RNA from 1 species
GAAAUGCGAUAAGUAAUGUGAAUUGCAGAAUUCAGUGAAUCAUCGAAUCUUUGAACGCACCUUGCGCUCCUUGGUAUUCCUUGGAGCAUGCCUGUUUGAGUAUCAUGAAAUCUUCAAAGUAAAACUUUUGUUAACUCAAUUGGUUUCUACUUUGGUAUUGGAGGUCUUUGCAGCUUCACACCUGCUCCUCUUUGUUCAUUAGCUGGAUCUCAGUGUUAUGCUUGGUUCCACUCGGCGUGAUAAGUUAUCUAUCGCUGAGGACACUGUCAAAGGUGGCCAAGGUAAAUGCAGAUGAACCGCUUCUAAUAGUCCAUUGACUUGGACAAUACUUUUAUGAUCUGAUCUCAAAUCAGGUAGGACUACCCGCUGAACUUAAGC